ensembl:snRNA U6 U6 spliceosomal RNA
CUGCUCACGUUAGCACCACAUAUACUAAAAUUGGAACAACAGAGAAGACUAGCACAGCUCCUGUGCAAGGAUAACAUGCAACUUCGUGAAGCAUUCCAUAUUUUU